AUUCCAUGAUGUGGACAUUGCCUCAGUAAUUCUUUAAAUCUUUCCCAAGCAUCAAAUAAGAACUUUUCUUCUUCUUGCCUAAAAGAUGUGAUUUCAUAUUUCAUUUU